GAAAAUGAAUUUGCCAUUAUGUUCCAUUAUAUGGAGGGUUAUCCACUGAAGAUGAUUCUAAUAAUUUCAUUAUACACAAACAAGUUCUGUGACUUAUAAUGAUUUUGACUAAUUCCAUGACUUUUCCAGGUUUUCCAGGACUCUUGCAAGUAUAAAAUUCAUUCAGACUUUAAAGCAG